GGAAGUAGCAUGUCCGGAGAACAAGAAACACGUGGUUUUGAUAAAGCCAUAAAUACAGCUUCUCAGGAACAUUGUGGUCUCUUCGUCGCGUUGUUAGUGCUAUAAUCAUUGUGCCUCUGAUCAUAGGUUACACACGGUUUUGAGUCCCAUAGGAAAUGAACGGCCACUACCUAUCCUUGAACGGGGUUGAUCGCAGCGAGGUAGGUGUACUUGCUGGAAGGAGACAGUCGACAGGGUCCUGCAUGUGCCAUCAAAUGGAGUGAACAGAACUGGUAUAGAAUAUAAAAAAUAAUCACGCGUUCUUGGUGACUCAAGAUCGUUACCUCCGAUAUAUAAAGUUAUAUCGGCCUGCUCGUAACUUCUGCGCAUAAAUUCUAGAUAUUGUGUAGGCUAUAUGCCCUAUUUAAUUUAUUGACUUGUAUUUCUGCGAUUCCCAACUGAACUGCUCUGUAUUAAUAAAGUUUAUAUAAUUACA